rnacentral:misc_RNA from 1 species
GACAGUGUGAUCUGCCUCCAAGCCCCUAUAAACCGACCGAUUGCUCACCCCUAGGGCCAUGGAUGGCUUCCGCAAAGGUUUUCAAGUUCCUGCAGUACACAGGCAUGACAUAAUUGCAAGUUUGCAACCAUGUAUAUUUGAGGAAGAAGAGCAAGAAGUUCACAUGGAAAGACACAUAGAGAGGAAGCAAGGCAUACAGCUAAUGAUAUGGUCCAAAUAUGAAGUAUUUAGUUCAACACUUGGAAAUAUAACUUAAGUUCUCUCAAGUGCCAAUACCACGCGGCAGUGUGAUGAAGCCAAAAAACGCAACUUCUCCAAGUUCACAUUAAUGCAAUUUAUACAGGGAAGAAAGGGCAUCACAGCCUACACUCUUGAGUAGCAAUGAAUAUGGCGUAGUAGCAAUAGCAAUGGAGGCAGACAAAAUCAACAAUGCUGCACUGCUGGUGCAUAAAGUGGUGAAGGCACUGAGUUUGCAAGGUUACUUGACGGUGGCAGGCACACAUUGUAAGUGGGUUGGAUUGAUGCCGCUUUAUGAGAUUUUUAAUGUGAUUCCUUCUAGUCAGCUAUAGCUUUUAAUAACAAUCUAAGCAGCAAUCAUGUAGCUUUUGAAGUUUUUCUUUUUCGUUCCACUUGGUCCUUAAUAAAUAUGUUCUCUGGUCCGGGUCCAUUGAAUCUGAGUUUGUCUUCUCUCGUUAUUUCUAGUAAUGCAGGUUGAAAGCAUGCAGAUUUUCAAAAGCAUGGGCUCCUUUGGUGGGUAUCUCUCUUUUACACUCAUACUAUAUUUGUAGUUUUAGUUUAACUACCCAAAGUGAAAUUCCGUCCCCCAUUUCACAAAUAAUCAUGACAAUAUGCGGAUAUAAUUCCUUACCCAAUACUAAUUAUAAAUAGGCCGUGUUAAAAUCUCUACUCUUUUCAAUAAAAUCAAAUAUUGCAGAUCAUCGUAUUUCUGCCAAAAAUUGAAUCCUUUUUGUCCAACCGAAUAACACAAACGAAAUAAAUAAAAAAAAUAUCACAUAAAAAAGAAAAUAGAAACAGAUAAAACAGAUUAUAGAUUUGGAUAUACCAUAGCUAUGAAGGGUUUGAUCG